rnacentral:pre_miRNA from 1 species
AUUAAAAUCGUUUUCCAGUCUUUAGAUAUAAUGUUUUGACUCUUCGUUUUAUUUAAAGUAUUUUUGUGAUUAAUAAUUUUAAUGUUACUUGAUGGUGAAACAUAAAUAAUAUUUUAUGCAUGACCAAUUUUUUAAAGUUUUUUACGAAUUUUUUAAGUAAGGCGAAUGGUCAAAUCGUUGGACACAGAAAUCAAAAAAUGAAGUUAUU